AUCGAUGAAGAACGCAGCGAAAUGCGAUAAGUAAUGUGAAUUGCAGAAUUCAGUGAAUCAUCGAAUCUUUGAACGCACCUUGCGCUCUUUGGUAUUCCGAAGAGCAUGCCUGUUUGAGUGUCAUGAAAAUAUCAACCUUGACUUGGGUUUAGUGCUCUUGUCUUGGCUUGGAUUUGGCUGUUUGCCGCUCGAAAGAGUCGGCUCAGCUUAAAAGUAUUAGCUGGAUCUGUCUUUGAGACUUGGUUUGACUUGGCGUAAUAAGUUAUUUCGCUGAGGACAAUCUUCGGAUUGGCCGAGUUUCUGGGACGUUUGUCCGCUUUCUAAUACAAGUUCUAGCUUGCUAGACAUGACUUUUUUAUUAUCUGGCCUCAAAUCAGGUAGGACUACCCGCUGAACUUAAGCAUAUCAAUAAGCGGAGGAAAAGAAACUAACAAGGAUUCCCCUAGUAACGGCGAGUGAAGCGGGAAGAGCUCAAAUUUGAAAUCUGGUGGCCUCAGGCUAUCCGAGUUGUAAUCUAUAGAAACAUUUUCCGCGUUGGCCCAUGUACAAGUCUCUUGGAAUAGAGCGUCAUAGAGGGUGAGAAUCCCGUCCUUGACAUGGACUACCAGUGCUUUGUGAUAUGUUUUCAACGAGUCGAGUUGUUUGGGAAUGCAGCUCAAAAUGGGUGGUAAAUUCCAUCUAAAGCUAAAUAUUGGCGAGAGACCGAUAGCGAACAAGUACCGUGAGGGAAAGAUGAAAAGCACUUUGGAAAGAGAGUUAAACAGUAUGUGAAAUUGUUGAAAGGGAAACGAUUGAAGUCAGUCGUGUCUAUUGGACUCAGCCGGUUCUGCCGGUGUACUUCCUUUAGAUGGGGUCAACAUCAGUUUUGAUCGCUGGAAAAGGGCAGGAGGAAUGUAGCACUCUCGGGUGAACUUAUAGCCUUCUGUCGCAUACAGUGGUUGGGACUGAGGAACGCAGCUUGCCUUUAUGGCCGGGAUUUAUCCACGUACAAGCUUAGGAUGUUGACAUAAUGGCUUUAAACGACCCGUCUUGAAACACGG
rnacentral:rRNA from 1 species